rnacentral:lncRNA from 1 species
AAAGCCGACACCUAUUGAGUUGCAGUUAAAAUGAGGGCGAAAAAGGCUUUUGUUUCAGUUCUGCAGAUGGUCUGGGAGUUUGUGUUUCUUAGCAAGAAUUUUCUAGACGUUUUGGCUUGAACCAUCUGAAAAACUGCCUCAAGCUUUUGCAUGGUUCCCACUGGGUGGGCUGGGUUGGGAGGGGCUGUCGUGCAUGGUCCGGGAAAGCUGGAGAAGGCUGUUCCUUCACCCCGAGCCUUGGAUUUCUUAUCUGUGAAAUGGGAGGCUGCAAUGAUGAAUGGCAAAGUACCUUUUUUUUUCAGCUCUGAAAGUCUAGGAUAUUUUGCCACUGGAAGACCAGCAGACAAUGUCAUGACAACUCAAGAGGAUACAACAGGGCUGCAUCAAAAGACAAGUCUUUGGACCAUGUCAAGACCUGGAGCGAAGAAGGUAAUGAACUCCUACUUCAUAGCAGGCUGUGGGCCAGCAGUUUGCUACUACGCUGUCUCUUGGUUAAGGCAAGGUUUCAGUAUCAACCUGACUUCUUUUGGAAGGAUCCCUUGGCCUCACGCUGGAGUGGGCACCUGCCCUAGCCCACAGAGCUGGAUUUCUCCCUUUCUUCAAUCACACAGGGAGCACCACUAUGCAAAGACCUCAUCACAUUCACAGCCGUCUCCGCAGAGCCUCGCACUGUGCUUGGCAUAUAGCAGGUGCUCAAUAAAUAUCUGCCAAAUGACUGAAUGCAUCUCGCUAGCCUCAGGAUGCCACCAGGCCCUGAGGGAGCCAGGAAGAUCAGAGGAAAGCUUUUGGAUUCCUGCCACACCUUACAUUAGCAACAUCUUCUCCGAGUCCUGACAGCCAGCCUCCUGGGACACCAUUCAAGCCAGCUGAAUUCCGGUCACCGCUUCACCUUGGAAAGGCAUCCGCAGCCCUCACCAAGCGGCCCCGUAAUUGACGUCACA